AUGUGUAGCGGUGAAAUGCGUAGAUAUAUGGAAGAACACCAGUGGCGAAGGCGGCUGUCUGGUCUGUAACUGACGCUGAGGCUCGAAAGUAUGGGUAGCAAACAGGAUUAGAUACCCUGGUAGUCCAUACCGUAAACGAUGAAUGCUAAGUGUUGGAGGGUUUCCGCCCUUCAGUGCUGCAGCUAACGCAUUAAGCAUUCCGCCUGGGGAGUACGGCCGCAAGGCUGAAACUCAAAGGAAUUGACGGGGGCCCGCACAAGCGGUGGAGCAUGUGGUUUAAUUCGAAGCUACGCGAAGAACCUUACCAGGUCUUGACAUACUAUGCAAAUCUAAGAGAUUAGACGUUCCCUUCGGGGACAUGGAUACAGGUGGUGCAUGGUUGUCGUCAGCUCGUGUCGUGAGAUGUUGGGUUAAGUCCCGCAACGAGCGCAACCCUUAUUAUCAGUUGCCAGCAUUAAGUUGGGCACUCUGGUGAGACUGCCGGUGACAAACCGGAGGAAGGUGGGGAUGACGUCAAAUCAUCAUGCCCCUUAUGACCUGGGCUACACACGUGCUACAAUGGAUGGUACAACGAGUUGCGAACUCGCGAGAGUAAGCUAAUCUCUUAAAGCCAUUCUCAGUUCGGAUUGUAGGCUGCAACUCGCCUACAUGAAGU
rnacentral:rRNA from 2 species